rnacentral:lncRNA from 1 species
CUAUGGUUUCACACUUUCUGACUUUAGUACCUUGUGAUUUAAAGUGUAUGAAUUUUGUGCUCCGUGAUUCUAUUUUUAUUUUUUUAUUAUCGAUUUUACUAAUUUUUUUCGUUAAAUCAGUGACAAAAUUAAAACUAAAGGAUACUAAAGUGAAUAUUCGAUAAACCUAGAUGGGGUAUUUAAAAUUUUUUUUCCAUAUAAUUUAACGAAAUAUUGAAUAAGAAGCUGACAAAAAGAUUAAAAAUAAAACCACAUAAUAUUAAGUUGUUACACUUUAAACCAUAAGGUACUAAAGUGAGAAUGUGCGAAAUCAUAGGGGUUGUAUUUGAAGUUUACCUUUAAUUUUUUUUCC